rnacentral:pre_miRNA from 1 species
UUUUUUUACCAAAUAAUGUUUGACUAUUCGUCUUAUUAAAAAAAUUUACAAUUUACAAUUUUGCUUUUAUUAGAUGAUAAAUGAUGAAUAGUACUUUACGUGUGAUUAAUUUUUUUUUAAUUUUUUAAAUAAGACGAAUGGUCAAACGUUGAACAUGAAAACCAAAAGGUUACCUUAUU